CAGGGAUUGCCUUAGUAACGGCGAGUGAAGCGGCAAUAGCUCAAAUUUGAAAUCUGGCGCUUGCGUCCGAGUUGUAAUUUGUAGAGGAUGAUUUUGGUUAGGUACCUUUCGAGUUCCUUGGAACAGGACGCCUUAGAGGGUGAGAGCCCCGUACGAUUGGAUGCCGAGCCUCUGUAAAUCUCCUUCGACGAGUCGAGUAGUUUGGGAAUGCUGCUCUAAAUGGGAGGUAAAUUUCUUCUAAAGCUAAAUACCGGCCAGAGACCGAUAGCGCACAAGUAGAGUGAUCGAAAGAUGAAAAGCACUUUGAAAAGAGGGUUAAAUAGCACGUGAAAUUGUUGAAAGGGAAGGAUUUAUGACCAGACUUUUUCUAGGAGGAUCAUCCGGUGUUCUCACCGGUGCACUUCUUCUAGUUUAGGCCAGCAUCGACUUUCGGCGGCGGAUAAAAGCUUCAGGAAUGUGGCUCCUCUCGGGGAGUGUUAUAGCCUGUUGUAUAAUACGCUGCUGGGGGUCGAGGUACGCGCUUCUGCAAGGAUGCUGGCGUAAUGGUUAUCAAUCACCCGUCUUGAAACACGGACCAAGGAGUCGAACAUUUAUGCGAGUGUUUGGGUGUUAAACCCUCACGCGUAAUGAAAGUGAACGGAGGUGAGAGCCCUUACGGGUGCAUCAUCGACCGAUCCUGAAGUUUUCGGAUGGAUUUGAGUAAGAGCAUAACUGUUCGGACCCGAAAGAUGGUGAACUAUGCGUGGAUAGGGUGAAGCCAGAGGAAACUCUGGUGGAGGCUCGCAGCGGUUCUGACGUGCAAAUCGAUCGUCAAAUCUGCGCAUGGGG
rnacentral:rRNA from 1 species